ACUUUCCCCAAAACCUAAAGCUUAAAAAGUUAUUUGGGAGCGCUCCGUAUCUUUCAUUUUGUACGUGUCUGUCUAUCAGCGUGUGUGCUGCGUGUCAGCGUGUGUGCUCUCAGUACAACAGCCAAUCAAAUUAGAUCUACAUUGUUUUCAUCACACAGCAUUCAGCCAAUCAAAUUGCAGGACAACCAAUGAACAAGAGUUGUCAAACAACGCGCCAGUGAGAGAGAUUUAUACCAAAGUUGGUUUCGUUCGGGUAUAAAAACUACGACUUGGUCAACAAAAAACGAAUUGCCGUAUGCAAAUCACGCAGUUCGAAUAUUACAGACGGAGACGCAACAACUUCCAACUUCGUUCGACAUUUGAACUUGCACAAAGAAGGGUGGGGCUGAAAGUUUGUAAACCAAACCCCUGUAGGGGUGUCAUCCUCCCCCAGAAGAUUUAUUUGUGAUUUUCACAUACAAAUAUUGAAGAUCUUUGCUCCUUCUCAACUCUGUGUCCGCUCAUUUGAGCAGGAAAACGCUGAACACCAGCCUGGCAUCUUUGUUUCCUACCUGUCAACUGUCAGUUUAGGCUGCUCGCCGGCUCCUCAUCACCACUUCAAGAUGCAAUUUGCUCGCGUCACAGCAACCAAUAUUGCGUCUACUUAUAAGAUGUCUAUGGUUAUAACAUCAUUUCAAACACAGCAAUAUGUUGCGUCCACUGCAGUUUGCUACCUUAUUCAUACUUUUUGUCAAGUGAUUUUUUUAAGCAGGGAUGCAUGAGGUACCAAACAUAACGUUACGUUAGUCAAUGUAUCACACACAGUAACAUAACGUUAGACGGCGGUCAGCAGCACCGCAUAUUUUAGCCACCUACAA